GAUGAACGCUGGCGGCGUGCCUAAUACAUGCAAGUCGAGCGAACAGACGAGGAGCUUGCUCCUCUGACGUUAGCGGCGGACGGGUGAGUAACACGUGGAUAACCUACCUAUCAGACUGGGAUAACUUCGGGAAACCGGAGCUAAUACCGGAUAAUAUAUUGAACCGCAUGGUUCAAUAGUGAAAGACGGUUUUGCUGUCACUUCUAGAUGGAUCCGCGCCGCAUUAGCUAGUUGGUAAGGUAACGGCUUACCAAGGCAACGAUGCGUAGCCGACCUGAGAGGGUGAUCGGCCACACUGGAACUGAGACACGGUCCAGACUCGUACGGGAGGCAGCAGUAGGGAAUCUUCCGCAAUGGGCGAAAGCUUGACGGAGCAACGCCGCGUGAGUGAUGAAGGUCUUCGGAUCGUAAAGCUCUGUUAUUAGGGAAGAACAAAUGUGUAAGUAACUAUGCACGUCUUGACGGUACCUAAUCAGAAAGCCACGGCUAACUACGUG
rnacentral:rRNA from 1 species